GACUACUUCAUGCUAGCCCUUUGCUUCA
rnacentral:sRNA from 1 species